AUCUCCAACCUAAAUUAUAACACCCUGAAAAACAGCUUGGAAAUGCGGGCAGGAGUAAAUUAACUCCAGCUGUGAAUUAUUAUUGUCGGCUUGUUGGAAAUAUUAUUUCUAUUAAUAAUAAUGGAUGACCUAUAAAAAAAAGAAGCGAAAGAACAGAAUCCCAGACCUUAUCUUGCAUUGCGUUUUGCCCAAGGGUUCUUUGGAUUGAAGCCCUCGCUUUUGCAAAUUGAUUCAAACCACAGAAAUUUACAGACUCUAUAAACCCUAGAGCUCGAAGAAACACUGCCAUGGCCUGUGUUACACCCCAUCUGUGUGAUCAGCCUGCGAGGAAGCGGUGGAAGCUGACAUCGUCGUGGGAUGUGCUUCCAUCGGGUCAUAAGGCUCAGGAAACCCUAGAUUUUAGCGGGCAGGUUGUUGCAAACAUAAAACAGGAUGUGAAUGCAGCAGAACCACCCCUUCUCUCUUUUUCUGUGAAAUCUAAAGGAAAUCAACAGCUUUCUCAAUAUUUAUCUCCUCCACAGCGUCAAGAUGACAAAGAAGGCCAUUAUGUGUUUGCUCUUGGAGAUAAUUUGACCUCUCGAUAUAAAAUACUCAGUAAAAUGGGUCAAGGUGCAUUCGGACAGGUCUUGGAAUGUUGGGACAGGAAAUCAAAUGAUAUUGUAGCCAUAAAAGUCACCCGUGGAUUACAGAAGUUCCAAGAGGAAGCAAUGAUGGAAAUUAAUGUGCUCCAUGAAGUUGGCAAGCACGAUAAAACUGGCAAGCGUUGUGUGCAAAUGCGGGAGUGGUUUGAAUAUCGGAAUCACACUUGUAUUGUUUUUGAGAAGCUUGGACCAAGCUUAUAUGAUUAUCUUAAAAAAAACAAUUAUCGCCCCUUUCCUAUUGAUCUUGUCCAAGAGAUUGGAAGACAGCUUCUGGAAUCAGUAGCAUAUAUGCAUGAUUUGAAACUUGUCCAUACGGAUUUAAAGCCUGAAAAUAUACUUUUUGUUUCUUCAGACUUUGUGAAGAUUCGAGAUUACAAGAAGGGUUUAAAGAGGUCAGCACAUAACAAUUUCAUGCAUUUGCCACAAUCGAGGGAAAUAAAGUUAAUAGAUUUUGGAAGUGCGACAUUUGAGGAAGAAGAGCAUACAAGUGUUAUCUCAACCAGGCAUUGUCGAGCUCCUGAAGUUAUUUUGGGUCUUGAAUGGAACUACCCUUGCGAUAUUUGGAGUGUGGGAUGCAUACUUGUGGAACUUUGCUCGGGAGAGACAUUGUUUCAGACACAUGAAGACUUGGAACACCUUGCAAUGAUGGAGAAAGUGUUUGGGCCAUUGCCUAGAAACAUGAUAAAGAAAGCAGAUGGUAGACAUGCAAAAUAUUUUAGACAUGGAAAACGGUUGGAUUGGCCAGAAGGAGCAUCUUCUAGCAGAAGCAUUCGAGCAGUGAGGGAAUUGUCAAGUUUAAAGAAUUUGAUCUUGCCUCAUGUAGAUCACUCAGUCGGUCUCCUUAAUCUUAUAGAUUUGCUGCAAUCUCUUCUAAAAUUUGAGCCCAUGGAACGACUGACAGCUCAAGAGGCUUUAAGACAUCCUUUCUUUACAGGAGAUUCUGUGAAAAUGGAAAACAUUCAAUGCAAUUUACAAUGAUCCGAUAAAAAAAUGGAAGUCCUUAAAGGGGAACACGUAAUUGGCCGUGCAGUCACAGUGUUAAGUUGGCGAGCAGUCUUUCCAAUCUUUGUUGACAGAUGCCUUUUAGAUGUCCAGUGUUUUCAUGGUUGUAAAUCUCGUUGUAAAUAUGUAUAAUACCAUUCCUCAGAAGCAGAGGCAGAAUUUGCUCCAUUACAGGUUGCCUGCACAUGGGAUGCAUUUGCUUGUGAAUUAAAAAAAAAGCUUCCUCUACUUCAGACAUUCUGAUCUCAAAUUGAUCAAAAUAAGUCCUAGAUUGUCUGGCAGUUGGACCAGUUGGUGAUCCUGUUAGCCUCGCAUGAUCAAUGAAUCAAGGAUAUUGAUACCAAUUUGCUGCUGAGCUGCAAAAUAUAGAAAAGUGAACAUAUUUAAUGUCAAACACCUGGCAUUUAAUCCAUAUAAUGUGUGGAAUGUUGGUGAUACUGGACAUUUGAUGGCUGUGAACUUUAAAGGUCAUCCAUGGCUUGUAUGUGUAUUUGGGGAAGUACUGACUGCAAUUGAUGUGCUCUGUCAAGGUUUUGAGCAUUUCACAGGUUGGUUGGAGAUUGAUUAAAGUUCUAGAUGCAAUUUUAAUGCGAAACAAUUGUUGAAAAUCACAGUCAAUCGUUUUUAAAAAGAUGGGAUUUGGAAAAAAAUUCGUGGACCAAUUCGCAAAAAAUUGGGUAUAAUCAGAAUUCUUUGGAUAUUUUUGGUUCUAUGGUUUUAUCUACUUCACUCACAAAUAAAGGUUUUUGAUUUCAAAAAGGAUACUCCCUCCUCAUUUGCGACGCUACCUAUACUCUCAACCUAAGCAAUCCACAAAUAAUGGGGAUUAAUCCCAUAUUUAUUGCUGGUUAAUUGACCAGUGAUCAAUCAUUCCCCAAGAUUUCAAGGAGCUAACUGAUUGCAUGACUCCUAACUUAAUUGCAGGUAAUUGAUGCAGCAUACAACCAAAAGGAAGAUAUAACUGCAGCAUCCCACCUAUUUAAGGAUACUCUAACAACUAGUUGAUUGAGCCACAUUCUAACUGCAAGACUAACUACUUCCAACUGUUGGCAAUAGAUCCAAUCAACAUACACUAUGCGUUGGUUGCCAACUCAGUAUUGGCGGCUCAUAAAGGGGACAUUACACCUCCUCGUCCAUCUAUUCCUAAAGUUGUGGUAAAGAGCCACCUAUUUUUGGUCACACAUGAAGAGAGCCUGCUACACAUAUGACAACGAAAUUGGAGAAGUCAUUUAAAAUUGAAUUUUGAGAGAUUGUCGAUCAACUCAUUGCAAUAUGCAUCAAUGCAAAUGAUUUGGCUGUCAACAUUGUUCUCUUAGCAUAUUGACAAGAUAUGGAGAGGAAAAUUAAUGACCCUCCAAAGGGUACAAGGGCCUAGUUUUUGAGGUGUGUAUUGCUUUAGUGGCAAAGGAGUGAAACUUGUAGAAGAUACAUUGAAGAUCAUUAAGAAUUUGUGGGUUGAGAUGAUGGUAUCAAUCAUUUCCAAUGGAUGGAAGGAUGCUAAAAAUCAACCUUUGGUCAAUGUGAUCAUAGUGUCUUUUAAACAAGCAAUGUUUUUUUGAAAGCUUCGGAUUAUGAGGUGUAAAUAAAAAAUACACAAUUUAUAGUUGACAUCUUUAUUGGGGCCAUUGACGACGUGGGGUUAAAUAACAUUAUUUAAGUCAUAAUAGACGAUGUGAAAUUUUCUAUAGUUGUUUGUUUGUUGAGAUGUUAUUGGCACAUUUUUUGACACCUUGUGUUGCCCACUCGUUCAACCUUAUGUUACAAUUAGAAAAGAUGGGCAACAAAAUUGAUUAGAUCAAACAUGUGUUUGUGGCUAAAGAGAUCUAUCUCAAAAUUGGAGUUGCUGAAAAUAAGUGAAACAAUAAAAUUUUAUUUUUCACUUUAGUAAAUUAUUUUAUAAAGUUAUCUUAUCUUUUUUGUUUUCAUUCUUUAUUUUUAAAUUUGGAAUAGGUUGUUGAGUUUUCAACACAAUCUCCUUGAGAUAACUUGUGAAAGUUCGAGAGAGACUUUCUAGCAUGGUCAUCAACCAACUUUGAUCCAUAUGAAAACAAUCAUGUAGUGAGAGGGUAGUGAAUAUUAAGCAAAUGAUUUUAGAUGACAUUUGGUGGGAUUGUGUGGAAUUUCUUCUUAAUUUCAUUCAGCCCAUUAUAUUGACAUUUUAAAGCCAUUUAUGUAAAGUAUAUGGUGGCAUCAAUUCAAUGUUUGAGAAAAUGAAGAUUGCUGAGAAAGAACAUCUCAAAGACACUUUUUUCAAACAUGCGUAAACAAUUCUUAUUGAAUGAUGGAAUAAAAUGAUCACUCCACUGCAUCUUCUUGCCUUUGCAUAGACUCAAAAAUACUAUAGCAUUAAGUUUCUAUCUUUGUCGAGGAGGAUUACACCGUACAGAGAUGUAGAAGUCAGCGAAGGGUACAACCCAGCAUUUGAUAGACUCUUCCUUAAUCUUGAUUUGGAGGAUGUAGUCACAAACGAGUUUGCUGAUUUUAGCACAGUAUAAUGAUCAAAGUGUUUAUACACUUGAGUUAAUUAGAAACACGCUCACUAUUGAUGGUAUCUCCAUGUCUAAACAUUCAACACUUGCAACCUCUUUCAAUCAAAGUCUUUUCCAAAAGUUUUUUAAUAAUCUUAAAUUGUUUAAAUUUGAUUUUUUUCUUUUAUUUUUCUUGUGUUUGAAAUUUCAUUUAUAAAUCAAACUUUUAGUAUUUGCCUCAAUAGGAUUUCAGUUCAUCUUCAUCUAAGCACAAAUGGAGUACAAACUCCUCCAUCCACUCAUUUAAGUGAAACUCGUUGGCAUAAAAAAAAUAAGUACACUCCAACUUCCAUUUCCACAAACAAAAUGACUACAGGGAAGAGGGAACGAUGUUGUGGAACAUAGAGCAAGAGCAUGUUGACUUGGUUCCUUCCAUUGCUCAAUGAUCUUCAUUUUUUGAGGACUCAGAUAAUUAGCAUACUUUUAGUGCAAGUAUGCGUGGCACUUCUUGUGAAUUUGUAAUAUACCUACAUCAUCUAAUGUUUUUAUAUUGGUAAAUGCAGGUUUGAAAGGACCUGUACCUUUGUACAACAGAACAGCCAAACAGCGGACAGAACAAGUGCCCUGAAUAGUAUUGAACCCUUGGACAGAAUUUGUUCUUUUGCAGGUUGUCAAGGUAUCCAGGCUUGUCGAGGCAAAAUAUAGUUUCCUCUACCUGCUGAGCAUUCUUUUUUGAAAUUGAUCAGAAGCUGUCCUGGAUUGUACGGGAGUUGAACCAGACAGUUGAAUCACUCAGCCACACUUUUAGCACUCAAUUUUUUUACAUGUAGGGAUGGAAUUUGUUCCUUUGCAGGUUGUCAAGGUAUCUAGACUUUGCAAGACAAAAUAUAGUUUCCUCUACCCACGGAGCAUUCUUAUUUGAAAUUGAUCAAAAGCUAACCUGGAUUGUAUGGGAACCAAACCAGUUUCUCACCCUGUUAGCUUGAGUGCAAAAAUACGAACGUGGUGCUAAAGUCCAAUGCUAACCGUGAUCUAAGAUCAAUAACAAUUGUUGGCCCUUUCAAUCUGAAUAUGAAAACAUUAGGCAAGUCUUAAGAUAACUCUUUAGUGAGUGAUGUAUUGUUUUAAUCAAUGAUCAGGUUUUGGAUGCAGAAUCACAGUACGGGGGUAACCAUUGAGGCUAGUUUUGAGAUAACUUUUAGGUGAGUGAUGUUUUGUUUUAAUCAAUGAUCAGGUUUUGGACGCAACUGCUUUUGUAAUAUUUAAAGAUGUCCGUGGUCUGUAAACUGUUAUAUUCCGAAUUAAGAUUGUAGUACAGAUAUGAACCUAUUUUCUUCAAUGAUAUCAAUAAGAUUCACUUCAGGAAGAAAACUUAUUUAGAUUCACGGAAGAACUUGAACAUCUUAUUUUGCAGCAUUUAGAGCUCUCACCUGGUUUCUUCAUGUGCAAGAACCUAGUCGAGAAAUUGUUGUAUGCAGAAAAUGUUGAAACAACAAACCAGCCAAAGUAAAGACCACUGUAACAGCAUAUAGUGCUAGUAGCUAACCAUGCAUGUUCGUUGGAUAAGGUUGAUAAGUAAGAAUGAUAUGGUUCAAAAUUAAGAGAUCUAGAUGUUUUUAUCAUUCAAAUCAAAUGAAUAUUGGCAUGACUGUAAAUAGUUACCAGGAAAUGUGGGCACUCGAAUUGGGACAGAAACGGCAGCCUCAUAUCUAUACUAGAAUUUCGAGGUGAGUGGAUUUUCUAGCCAGGAAGGAAAUACCAUGUAGCUUGAAUAUUUUGAGGUUUUCAUAGGAAGGAGGUACUAUUUGGCUGAUAUAUCAUUAUCAUAAAGAUGGAUCGGCGAGAUAAAAUUAUUUGUGACAUGAGGAACUAGAGAGGAAACUAUUUAAAUGGUGUCCAUAGAGCUACAGAACAAGGAUAUCAUAUGCCACAUCCCUGGCAUUUGAUUUGGCUACAUUUUUAAACGUUUGUAUUAAUAAAAUUUGUAUUGAAUUUAUUAAAUUGAAAUUAUUGGCAAAUAAAGUAAAUGUUUUGCAAGGUCUAUUAUAUGCAUGAGUUUUAACUUAAUUUUC